AUACAAAUGCCAGAGUUAUUAUGGGUUGGUUUUAAGCGCUAAUUAGAGAAAGGUUUUCUUUUGUAUG
rnacentral:tRNA from 1 species